AACUGAAUACAUAGGUUAACGAGGCGAACCGGGGGAACUGAAACAUCUAAGUACCCCGAGGAAAAGAAAUCAACCGAGAUUCCCCCAGUAGCGGCGAGCGAACGGGGAGCAGCCCAGAGUCUGAAUCAGCUUGUGUGUUAGUGGAACGGUCUGGAAAGUCCGACGGUACAGGGUGAUAGUCCCGUACACCAAAAUGCACAGGCUGUGAACUCGAAGAGUAGGGCGGGACACGUGGUAUCCUGUCUGAAUAUGGGGGGACCAUCCUCCAAGGCUAAAUACUCCUGACUGACCGAUAGUGAACCAGUACCGUGAGGGAAAGGCGAAAAGAACCCCGGCGAGGGGAGUGAAAAAGAACCUGAAACCGUGUACGUACAAGCAGUGGGAGCACCUUCGGGUGUGACUGCGUACCUUUUGUAUAAUGGGUCAGCGACUUAUAUUCUGUAGCAAGGUUAACCGUAUAGGGGAGCCGCAGGGAAACCGAGUCUUAACUGGGCGUUAAGUUGCAGGGUAUAGACCCGAAACCCGGUGAUCUAGCCAUGGGCAGGUUGAAGGUUGGGUAACACUAACUGGAGGACCGAACCGACUAAUGUUGAAAAAUUAGCGGAUGACUUGUGGCUGGGGGUGAAAGGCCAAUCAAACCGGGAGAUAGCUGGUUCUCCCCGAAAGCUAUUUAGGUAGCGCCUCGUGAAUUCAUCUUCGGGGGUAGAGCACUGUUUCGGCUAGGGGGUCAUCCCGACUUACCAACCCGAUGCAAACUACGAAUACCGAAGAAUGUUAUCACGGGAGACACACGGCGGGUGCUAACGUCCGUCGUGAAGAGGGAAACAACCCAGACCGCCAGCUAAGGUCCCAAAGUCAUGGUUAAGUGGGAAACGAUGUGGGAAGGCACAGACAGCCAGGAUGUUGGCUUAGAAGCAGCCAUCAUUUAAAGAAAGCGUAAUAGCUCACUGGUCGAGUCGGCCUGCGCGGAAGAUGUAACGGGGCUAAACCAUGCACCGAAGCUGCGGCAGCGACACUAUGUGUUGUUGGGUAGGGGAGCGUUCUGUAAGCCUGCGAAGGUGUGCUGUGAGGCAUGCUGGAGGUAUCAGAAGUGCGAAUGCUGACAUAAGUAACGAUAAAGCGGGUGAAAAGCCCGCUCGCCGGAAGACCAAGGGUUCCUGUCCAACGUUAAUCGGGGCAGGGUGAGUCGACCCCUAAGGCGAGGCCGAAAGGCGUAGUCGAUGGGAAACAGGUUAAUAUUCCUGUACUUGGUGUUACUGCGAAGGGGGGACGGAGAAGGCUAUGUUAGCCGGGCGACGGUUGUCCCGGUUUAAGCAUGUAGGCUGGUUGUCCAGGCAAAUCCGGAUAAUCAAGGCUGAGGUGUGAUGACGAGGCACUACGGUGCUGAAGUAACAAAUGCCCUGCUUCCAGGAAAAGCCUCUAAGCAUCAGGUAACAUUAAAUCGUACCCCAAACCGACACAGGUGGUCAGGUAGAGAAUACCAAGGCGCUUGAGAGAACUCGGGUGAAGGAACUAGGCAAAAUGGUGCCGUAACUUCGGGAGAAGGCACGCUGGUGUGUAGGUGAAGUCCCUGCGGAUGGAGCUGAGACCAGUCGAAGAUACCAGCUGGCUGCAACUGUUUAUUAAAAACACAGCACUGUGCAAACACGAAAGUGGACGUAUACGGUGUGACGCCUGCCCGGUGCCGGAAGGUUAAUUGAUGGGGUUAUCCGUAAGGAGAAGCUCUUGAUCGAAGCCCCGGUAAACGGCGGCCGUAACUAUAACGGUCCUAAGGUAGCGAAAUUCCUUGUCGGGUAAGUUCCGACCUGCACGAAUGGCGUAAUGAUGGCCAGGCUGUCUCCACCCGAGACUCAGUGAAAUUGAACUCGCUGUGAAGAUGCAGUGUACCCGCGGCAAGACGGAAAGACCCCGUGAACCUUUACUAUAGCUUGACACUGAACAUUGAGCCUUGAUGUGUAGGAUAGGUGGGAGGCUUUGAAGCGUGGACGCCAGUCUGCGUGGAGCCAACCUUGAAAUACCACCCUUUAAUGUUUGAUGUUCUAACGUUGGCCCCUGACCGGGGUUGCGGACAGUGUCUGGUGGGUAGUUUGACUGGGGCGGUCUCCUCCCAAAGCGUAACGGAGGAGCACGAAGGUUAGCUAAUCCUGGUCGGACAUCAGGAGGUUAGUGCAAUGGCAUAAGCUAGCUUGACUGCGAGCGUGACGGCGCGAGCAGGUGCGAAAGCAGGUCAUAGUGAUCCGGUGGUUCUGAAUGGAAGGGCCAUCGCUCAACGGAUAAAAGGUACUCCGGGGAUAACAGGCUGAUACCGCCCAAGAGUUCAUAUCGACGGCGGUGUUUGGCACCUCGAUGUCGGCUCAUCACAUCCUGGGGCUGAAGUAGGUCCCAAGGGUAUGGCUGUUCGCCAUUUAAAGUGGUACGCGAGCUGGGUUUAGAACGUCGUGAGACAGUUCGGUCCCUAUCUGCCGUGGGCGCUGGAGAAUUGAGGGGGGCUGCUCCUAGUACGAGAGGACCGGAGUGGACGCAUCACUGGUGUUCGGGUUGUCAUGCCAAUGGCACUGCCCGGUAGCUAAAUGCGGAAGAGAUAAGUGCUGAAAGCAUCUAAGCACGAAACUUGCCCCGAGAUGAGUUCUCCCUGAGACUUUAAGUCUCCUGAAGGAACGUUGAAGACGACGACGUUGAUAGGCCGGGUGUGUAAGCGCAGCGAUGCGUUGAGCUAACCGGUACUAAUGAACCGUGAGGCUUAACCUUACAACGCCGAAG
rnacentral:rRNA from 1 species